GCACUCCUGGGGAGUCCCACAAUAGGACGAAACGGCCGUCCAGUGC
rnacentral:hammerhead_ribozyme from 1 species